CAUCUGAUUGAAAGUCAUUACAAACUUCCAUCUCUAAGGAUAGAUAUAGAUUUCCAACUGCCCAAGUGGGAUAUAAAUAUGGUAAUUUGCUCAGGCCCACUUCCGACUGGCCAAACCAUGGUAUGAUCUAUUACCAUGACCAUACCAACCAUAGUGGACCUAAAAGAUAUCUAUAGUAACGACAUUACUUAGCCACAGGUGACCCCUAUAGAUAAUGCGAUACCACUCUCGUCAAAGGGCUCACCGUCAUCUGCUGCGAGCGGUCCUCUUACGUCUUUUCAGACAAGAUAGGAGAGGAGGAAAAAGAUACAUCGAAAGGCAAGGGGAACAGAUACCCUUCAGAGAUAAAAAGCCUAAUGAGACACUUGAUGAAAUAUGCAUGUCAAUACAAAUACACUUCAGACCAUAUAGGCUUCAUUCCACUUUUCUCUUUUUUUUUUCUUACUUUGCUAUUACAGACUACAUAUUAUAUAUAUUACAUGUAAAUUCAUCAAGUGUCAGUAAUUCACAUAGUAUGCUUGAAAAUUAGAACAAUUCGACUCAUUUGAACAUAGAGGCAUGCAAAACAAAUAAAAUAACAAUCAUAUUAAAUUUGUUUAUCUAAAAAAUACUCCUUAAGACGUCGAAAGUAAUAUUAGAUUCCUUACUGAAACCUUAAUGUUUUUUUCUUCACCAUUUUCCUUUUUUUCUCUUCUUCUCUCUAAUUUACUAUCUCUUUCUCUAAAUCUUUGAGAAAUGGAAGAAAUGGAAGUGUGGAGAGGAAGCAAAGGAGAAGGGCAAUUUAUAGAAGUUUGAAAUUGUUGUAUUCACACAAAUGGCAAAAUUCGGUGAA
rnacentral:lncRNA from 1 species